AUGAACGCUAGCGACAGGCUUAACACAUGCAAGUCGAGGGGCAGCAUAUAAAUAGCUUGCUAUUUAUGAUGGCGACCGGCGCACGGGUGAGUAACGCGUAUGCAACCUACCUACUACUGGGGGAUAGCCCGGCGAAAGUCGGAUUAAUACCGCGUAAAACAGGGGUCCCGCAUGGGAAUAUUUGUUAAAGAUUUUAUCGGUAGUAGAUGGGCAUGCGUUCCAUUAGCUAGUUGGCGGGGUAACGGCCCACCAAGGCAUCGAUGGAUAGGGGUUCUGAGAGGAAGGUCCCCCACACUGGUACUGAGACACGGACCAGACUCCUACGGGAGGCAGCAGUGAGGAAUAUUGGUCAAUGGGCGAGAGCUUGAAC
rnacentral:rRNA from 1 species